UUCGCAAUGCCCGAAAGGGUGACGAAGCGACGCCGCGUGGGUGAGGAAGGCCUUCGGGUUGUAAAGCCCUGUCAGGAGUUAAGAAAUGUAAGUGUGCUAAUAUCGCAUUUACUUGACGAAGGCUCCAAAGGAAGUCACGGCUAACUCUGUGCCAGCAGCCGCGGUAAUACAGAGGUGGCAAGCGUUGUUCGGAAUUAUUGGGCGUAAAGAGCACGUAGGUGGGUUUGUAAGUCAGAUGUGAAAGCCUUCUGUUCAACGGGAGAAUUGCAUCUGAAACUGCAAGUCUUGAGUAUAGGAGGGGAGAAUGGAACUUCUGGUGGAGUGGUGAAAUGCGUAGAUAUCAGAAGGAACGCCGGCGGCGAAAGCGAUUCUCUGGCCUAUUACUGACACUCAGUGUGCGAAAGCUAGGGGAGCAAACGGGAUUAGAUACCCCGGUAGUCCUAGCCGUAAACGAUGGGCACUAAGUAGAGGGGUUUU
rnacentral:rRNA from 2 species